rnacentral:tRNA from 1 species
UAAAGAAUUAGUUAAACAUUUUUAUAACAUUUGCUUGUCAAGCAAAAAUUGUCCAACCUCUAAAAGACAUUCUUUAA